rnacentral:lncRNA from 10 species
AAACAGGGAGAUGCAGAGAUGGGCUAGAUGCUCACCAAACUGCUUCCUCUUCCCAGCUAAAGAAUUAGAAUACAAUUCUCAGCUUCUCUUGCAUUGGUUUGGCUGUAAGACUUAGUUCCUAACCCACAAAGUAUACAGCAAAUAUGGUAUGUGGCACUUUCAGACCUAGCUCACAAAACCUCACUCAUGAUUCUCUGUUUUUGACUAUCUGCCCGAUGAAUAAACCCCCAAGACCUAGAGGAGGAUGAUGUCAUGAGAUGACAGACGAAGGGAGACUUCUUGAAUUAUUGCACAGGAUCCUCAAUGAAACAUCCUCAAUGAAAAUUAUUUGAGGAAGAAAUACAUUUUUACUCUGUUAAGCCGCUGUUAUCUUGGAUUUGUUUUAGGCCUGUUUUGCCUAAUAACAGACAAAAUGAUCAAAUGAACAUUUUUAGAAGUUACUCUUGAUGAUGGGAAAUACCAAGAAAGGAAAGAUAAGGUCACAGGAAAGCCAUGAACAUGUAAGGAAAAGAGAAGCGAAUGUACUCAAGAAACAGCAGGCCAGACACAGUAGCUCGCACCUCUAAUCCCAGCACUUUGGGAGGCCAAGAAGGGAGGAUGGCUUGGGACCAGGAGUUCAAGACCAGCCUAGGCAACAUAGAAUAACCCCAUCUCUACUUUUUUUUUUUUUUUUUAAUUAGCAAGGUGCAGUGGCAAAUGCCUUUGGCCCUAGCUACUAGAGAGGCUGAAGGGGGAGGACUGUCUGAGCCCAAGUGAGCUAUGAUCAGGCCAUUGUCCUGCAGCCUGGAUGACAGGGCAAGACACUGACUCUACCAAAAAAAUAAAAAGUAAGAAAUUGCAAUAACUCUUUUUGUUAGUUUUUUCAGACGGAGUCUCGCUCUGUUGCCCAGGCUGGAGUGCAGUGUCAUGAUCUCGGCUCACUGCAACCUCCGCCUCCCGGGUUCAAGCAAUUCUCUGCCUCAGCCUCCCAAGUAGCUGGGAUUAUAGGCGCCUGCCACCACGCCCGGCUAAUUUUUACAUUUUUAGUGGAAACAGGGUUUCACCAUCUUGGCCAGGCUGGUCUUGAACUCCUGACCUCAGGUGAUCCACCUGCCUCGGCCUCCCAAAGUGCUGGGAUUACAGGCGUGAGCCACCACGCCCGGCCUACAAGGACUUUGUUUUUAUUUUUUAUUUUUAGUACAGAUGGGGUCUUGCUAUAUUGCCCAGGCUGGUCUCAAACUCCUGAGCUCAAGCAGUCCUCCCACCUCAGCCUCCCAAAGUGCUGGGAUUACAGGUGUGAGCCACAGCAUCCAGCUGGUUUUUUCGUUUUUUGUUUUUAAAGGAAAACAAGAUAUAGUCAAAGUUUGGGAAAUUCCUUCUGCCUUCACUACCCAUCAUAGUGCUUAUUUUUCAUAAUCUUAUUUCAGGUUGGUUUGCUUUCGUGAGAAUGACAUGAUUAUUUUAUAUAUUACUACUAGAUUAUUUGGCAGCAUUUUUUUCAAUAAUACAGUGUAUGCCAAUUUUAGAGAUUUUAAAGUAUGGAAAUUUUGUGUUAGAAUCAGUGAAAUAUGUUAUUUCCUUUCCCCCAUGUAGUCUUCUGUUACAUGUGCCAUUGUAAAACUAAAAUAAUUUUAAGUGUCUUGUGAUUUAUACCAAGAAUAAGUAAAUCUAAAGUGAACAAAAUAAACCUAAUGAGAAAUCUGAACCUCAAGAAGGCAUCUAUGGAAAAAAAACACUGAAGAGCAGUAGUAUCUCCAAAAGCAUUUUGAAAUGUUUAGGUGUCAGAAGAGUUACUGGCAUUCAGUGAGAAUUAAGGAUGAAAUUAAACAUCUUGCAAGAGGCCAGGUGCAGGGCUCACGGCUGUAAUGCCAGCAUUUUGGGAGGCUGAGGCAGGAGGAUCACUUGAACCUGGAGUUUGAGACCCAUCUGGGGAACAGUGAGACCAUCUCAACAAAUAAAUACAUAAACAAGCAAGCAGGGCAUGGUGGCAUGCACCUGUAGCCCUGGCUACUUAGAAGGCUGAGGUAGGAGGAUCACUUAAGCCUGAGAGGUUGAGGCUACAGUGAGCCAUGAUUGCACCACUGCACUCCAACCCGGGCAACAGAGCAAGAGUGUCUCAAAAAAAUUUUUUUAAUUAAAAAAAAAAAUAACAAACCACAUCUUACAAGGGGACAAUACAGGCUGAGCAUCCCAAAUUUGAAAAUCCAAAGUUCGAAAGACUCCAAAAUCCAAAAUGUUUUGAGCACAAACAUGACACUCAAAAGAAUACUCAUUGGUGCAUAUUGGUAAGUACAAGAAUUUUCCAAAAUCUGAAAUGAGAAACAUGUCUAGUCUCAAGCAUUUAAGAUAAGCGAUAUUCAACCUCUAUCGCCAACAAAGAACUACGCUGCCCAAAUGCCAACAGUGCCCUUGUUGAGAAAAUGGCUGAUAUAGCCACCUUCUAUAGGAUGGGCCCUCAAUGUAAACACCUCAAAAUUAACUUUUGGCUGGUGCAGUGGCUCAUGCCUGUAAUCUCAGGACUUUGGGAGGCUGAGUCAGGAGGACCACUUGAAACCAGGAGCUCAAGACCAGCUUGGGCAACAUAGCAAGACCCUGUCUCUACAACUACAACAAUAAAAAUUAGCUGGGUGUGGCACUGUGUGCCUAUAGUCUUAGCUACUUGGGCUGCUGUGGGAGGAUGGCUUGAGCCCAGGAGUCUGUGAUUUUAACGAGCUAUCACAGCACUACUGCACUAGAGCGUGGGUAACAGAGCAAGACCCUGCCUCUAUAAAAUUAAAGAAAAAAUUGACUUUCCACAUUAACACAAAGCCAAGCAGAGCUUAAAUCCAGAAGAUGGUAAGAAAUGGUAUGCAGCUUACAUAAAGUGGCUAACACAAGUUAUUAGAAAAACAGUUUAUGCAUAACUAUUUUGUGGUGGAUUGUGUACUUGCACCUGCAAUCCCAGCCAGCUACUCAGGAGGGUGAGGUGGGAAGACUGACUGAGCCCAGGAGUUCAAGGCUGCAUUGAGCUGUGGUCGAGCUACUUUGUCUCUAAAAAAAAAAAAUUAAUUAAAAAGAGUUUGGCCGGGCACGGCAGCUCACACCUGUAAUCCCAGUACUUUGGGAGGCUGAAGUGGAUGGAUCACGAGGUCAGGAGUUCGAGACCAGCCUGGCCAACAUGGUAAACCCCGUGUCUACUAAAGAUACAAAAAAUUAGCAGGACAUGGUGGUGCACAUCUGUAAUCCCAGCUACUUGGGAGGCUGAGGCAGGAGAAUCAGCUUGAACCCAGGAGGCAGAUGUUGCAGCGAGCUAAGAUCGCACCAUUGCACUCCAGGCUGGGCGACAGGGCGAGACUCCAUUUCAAAGAAAAAAAUUAGCAGGGCAUGUUGGCGCACACUCCAGCCUGGGCGACACAGAGAAACCCUGUCUCAAAAAAAAAAAAGAAAAAGAGUUGACCCUUCCGUAGUUCAUAAGCAUGAUGACUGGGUGUUCACAUGCAUGCGUGAGAUAUGGCAACCUCAAACGGCACAUUACCUGUCUGACAUGAAAAAAAGAGUUGACUUGCUUUUUAUAUACACAUAUUAAUCAAGCAAUUUAUUUCACUCAAUGCUACAGUGCCUUCAAUAACUUGUAACAUUUAACAGCCUUGUGUAUGUGCCUUAAAUAUUUUACAAGAAUUAAUCUAAUCCACGCCAGGCAUGGUGGCUCCCGCCUGUAAUCCCAGCACUUUGGGAGGCUAAGGUGGGAGGAUUUUUUGAGGCUGGGAGUGCAAGGCCAGGCUGAGCAACAUAGUGAGACCCCCAUCACUAUAAAAAAACUUUUUUUAAUUAGCUGGACGUAGUGGUGCACACCUGUAGUCCCAGCCACUGACUGGGGAGACUGAGGUGGGAGGAUGGCUUGAACUCAGGAGGUCAUGGUUGCAGUGAGCCAUGAUCGUGCCACUGCACUCCAGCCUGGGCAACAGAGACCCUGUCUCAAAAAACAAAAUAACAGAGAGUAGCCUUCUUGAAGCUAUUUUAUUUUAAAAAGAACUACACCAAGAGAAAACUCUCAAAUCUCAGAAUUCAAUUUACGAUGCUAAAGAACUUGUUAAAACUCAAGUCCCUUCAUCUUUAGGCAGUCUCAGCAGAACUGCAAAUUUAUUAUUAUUACACUGACCAUUAAUUGUAAAAGAGCAUCUUUUGGUCACACUAGAGUUUUGCAUUUUCUUUCUUUUUUUUUUUUUGAGACAGCGUCUCGCUCUGUCACCCAGGCUGAAGUGCAGUGGCGCGAUCUCAGCUCACUGCAACCUCCGCCUCCCAGGUUCAAGCAAUUCUCCUGCCUCAGCCUCCCAAGUAGCUGGGACUAGCCGCCCGCCACCACACCUGGCUAAUUUUUGUAUUUUUAGUAGAGACGGGGUUUCACCAUAUUGACCAGGCUGGUCUUGAACUCCUGACUUUGUGAUCUGCCCACCUCGGCCUCCCAAAGUGCUGGGAUUACAGGCGUGAGCCACCGCGCGUAGCCAAGUUUUGCAUUUUCAUAGUGAGGAAAUGAAAAAUUCAAAUCUUGUUUCUAGUCGUCCAAAAAACUGCUGGGAAAAAAACCUUAUUUGCUUUGGUCACAACUAAGAAAACUCUAUCCAAAUAAAAGGUUGGGGGUAAAGAAAGAUCUCCCUAAUUAAUUCAAGAAAUUGCCAAGAUGUAAAUAGUUUAACUCUGUAGAUUACUAGAGAUAGUCAUGAUAUUCUAAAAUCCAAUGCACAAAUGAAACUAAAAUCCUGACCUACAUAAUGAACCACCACCGAUAGAUCUUUUCCUCUGAAAUGUUACUUGCUCAUUCAAGCAGUAUGAAAAAAAGAAAAACCAGAGUAUCGAUUUCCAAGAAUGCUAUAUUCUAUCAAUUUACCCAACUGUAAUAAAUGAAGCACUAUUCAAUUACAGUUCAACUGUAUAUAUGCACUGGGGAAAGAGACUCCUUACUCACUAUGGGACAGAAAACUUAAAAGGCAUUGUAGGGUGCACUUAAGUGAAACUGGCCAAGGAUGGCAAAAAAUCAAUUUUGCUUAAGGAAAUUAGGUAUUUAUAGACAGUACACCUGAGUUUGGACUAGAAUGAUAAAGUUUUGGUAGAGAUGACAUUCCAGAUGUAAAAAGACGAAGAGGCUGGGUGCGGUGGCUCAAACCUGUAAUCCCAACACUUUGGGAGGCCGAGGUGGGCAGAUCACCUGAGGUCAGGGGUUCAGGACCAGCCUGGCCAACAUGAGGAAACCCCAUCUCUACUAAAAAUGCAAAAAUUAGCCGGGCGUGGUGUGGCAGGCACCUGUAAUCCCAGCUACUCGGCGGGGAUAAGGCAGGAGAAUCGCUUGAACCCGGAAGGAGGUGGUUGUAUUGCAGUGAGCCAAGCUCGCGACACUACAUUCCAGCCUGGGUGACACAGCGAAGACUCUGUCUCAUUUAAAAAAAAAAAAAAAAAAAAAAAAGAGGACAAAGAUAUAUUUGGGUACCACUGCUUAACAGUCUUUUGACUAUAAUACAACACAGUAGUACCACAGGGAAGGAGGAAUCAACACUUAUAAUUCCAGAUGAAGGUAUUAGAAUGACUUCUGAACAAAGAAAGGAUAUUUCCAAAGCAAUGAUUUAAGUGGCAUUUUGGCAGAAAUAUAAAAAAUUAACUGCAGUCCUAGAAUCUUUUACAAUCACAAUAUCCACAUAUUAUUUGUGAAAUAAACCCAAAAACCAAUGAUAAAGAAACUAUAAUGGAGAUUAGUUAGAAAGUUAUUUCAAAAAAGACAAGAGCCUGAAACUAGACAAAAAGAUAACUUUUUUUUUUUCUUUUUUUUGAGACAGAGUCUGUCACCCAGGCUGGAGUGCAAUGAUCACAGCCCACUGCAGCCUCGACCUCCCCAGGCUCAGGUGAUCCUCCCACCUCAAGUUUUGUAUUUUUAGCAGAGAUGGGGUUUCAUCAUAUUGCCCAGGGUGGUCUGAAACUCCUCGGCUUAAGUGAUUUGUACACCUCUGCCUCCCAAAAGUGUUAGGAUUGCAGGCGUGAGCCACUGCGCUGGCCCAGCUAACUAUUCUUUCUUUUUCUUUUUUGAGACAGAGUUUUGCUCUUGUUGCCUAGGCUGGAGUGCAAUGGUGCAAUCUCGGCUCACCGCAACCUCCACCUCCCAGGGUCCAGCGAUUCUCCUGCCUCAGCCUCCCAAGUAGCUGAGAUUACAGGCACGCGCCACCACGCCCAACUAAUUUUGUAUUUUCAGUGGAUACGGGGUUUCUCCAUGUUGGUCAAGCUGGUCUCAAACUCCCGACCUCAGGUGAUCCGCCCGCCUCGGCCUCCCAAAGUGCUAGGAUUACAGGCAUGAGCCACCACGCCUGGCAACUAUUCUUGUUAGCAAAACCAGGCCUUAUAGUUUGUCCAAAUCCACAGAAUAUACACCACCAUGGCCGGGCAUGGUGGCUCACACCUGUAAUCCCAGCACUUUGGGAGGCCGAGGCGGGCAGAUCACGAGGUCAGGAGAUCGAGACCAUCCUGGCUAACACGGUGAAACCCCGUCUCUACCAAAAAAUACAAAAAACAAAUUAGCCGGGUGCCUGUAGUCCCAGCUAUUCAGGAGGCUGAGGCAGGAGAAUGGCAUGAACCCGGGAGGCGGAGCUUGCAGUGAGCCGACAUCGCACCACUGCACUCCAGCCUGGGCGACGGAAAGAGACUCCGUCUCAAAAAAAAAAAAAAAAAAAAAAAAGAAGAUACACCACCAAGAGUGAAUUCUAAUGUAAACCAGAGAAUUUGGAUGAUGAUGAUCUAUCAGCGUAGAUUCAUCAAUUGUAAGAAAUGUACAGGCUGGGCUCGGUGGCUCACACCUGUAAUCCCAGCACUUUGGGAGGCCGAGGCGGGUGGAUCACGAGGUCAGGAGAUCGAGACCAUCCUGGCUAACACGGUGAAACCCCGUCUCUACUAAAAAACUAUAAAAAAUUAGCCAGGCGUGGUGGUGGGCGCCUGUAGUCCCAGUUACUAGGGAUGCUGAGGCAGGAGAAUGGCGUGAACCCGGGUAGCACAGCUUGCAGUGAGCCGAGAUGGCGCCACUGCACUCCAGCCUGGGUGACAGAGCGAGACUGUAUCUCAAAAAAUGUACCACUCUAGUGGGGGGGGGGGGGGGGGCGGGCGUGGACAAUGGGCAAGGCAAAGCAUGUAUUGGGGCAGGAGAUAAUACAGGAAACCUCUGUACUUUCUCAUCAAUUUUACUGUGAUCCCAAAACUGCUCUAAAAAAUAAAAUCAAUUAAGAAAAAAACGCAAAACCUAGAAGCUAUAAAUCUAAGGGAACAAACGUUUAAUUAUCUGACUCGGAAACUGCUGAGUUCUGAAUAUAAAGCUUAAGAAUAUUAUAGGCUCACGCCUAUAAUCCCAACACUUUGGGAGGCUGAGGUGGGUGGAUCACCUGAGGUCAGGAGUUUGAGACCAGCCUGGCGAACAUGGUGAAACCCUGUCUCUACUAAAAAUACAAAAAUUAGCCAGAUGUGGUGGUGGGCACCUAUAAUCCCACCUACUCGGGAGGCUGAGGCAGGAUCGUCUCUUGAAACCUGGAGGCAGAGGUUGCAGUGAGCUGAGAUCGCACCACUGCACUCUAACCCAGGCGCCAAGAGUGAAACUCUUGACCCAAAAAAAAAAAAAAGAAAGAAAGAAAAAGAAAAAAGAAUGUUAGAUAGCGUCUUUGAAAAUCCUUUUGGCUGGGUGCAGUGGCUCACGCCUGAAAUCCCAGCACUUAGGGAGGCCAAGGCAGGCAGAUCACCUGAGGUCAGGAGUUCGAGACCAGCCUGACCAAUAUGGCAAAACCCCGUCUCUACUAAAAAUACAAAAAUUAGCCAAGCGUGGUGGCAGGCGCCUGUAAUCCCAGCUACUCAGGAGGCUGAGGCAGGAGAAUCGCUUGAACCCAGGAAGGAGAGGUUGCAGUGAGCCGAUAUCGCGCUCCAGCCUGGGGGAUACAGCGAGACUCUGCCUCCAAAAAAAAAAAGAAAAGAAAAUACUUCCAUCCCACUUUUAUAUUUCAAAUAAUUACUUCAACAUUACUGUAAUAUUUAUUGUGAGAUAUACAUUUGGUCUUCAUCCCAUUUCCUGGCAUACAACUUCUAAGAUCCUUAGAAUGGUAAGUUUCUUUUUGUAUGCUGAGUUGACUGAUAGCUUGGCAACUUCUAGGUAGUUUCUGCAUGGGUGCUGGUCACCUGAAAGAUCAAGGCAAGAUGAGAGGAUUAGGACUUUUAGCCCCACCUCCUCCAAACUCCAGGGAGGGAAAAGGUGCUAAGGGUUAAGGUGACCACCAAAGGUCAAUGAUUUAACCAACUGUGCCUCUGUAAUGAAGCCUCCAUAAAAGCCCAUAAAUGACUGGGUUCAGAGAGCUUCCAGAUAGCUGAGGCACAGUGUAGCCAGGGGAGGGCAUGGAAGCUCCGCGGCCCUUACUUCUCCUACGCACCUCCUCAUCCAUAUCCUUUAUAAUAAACUCUUGAACCUAAGUGUUGGCCGGGUACAGUGGCUCAUGCCUGUCUGUAAUCCCAGCACUUUGGGAGGCUGAGGUGGGUCGAUCGCUUGAAGUCAAGAAUUCGAGACCAGCCUGACCAACAUGAUGAAACCCCAUCUCUACCAAAAAUAUAAAAAAUUAGCCAGGUGUGGUGGCGCAUGCCUAUAAUCCCAGCUACUUGGGAGGCCGAGGCAGAAGAAUCGCUUGAACCAGAGCGAUAGAGGUUGCAGCAAGCCUAGAUCGUGCCACUGCACUCCAGCCUGGGUGACAGAGCCAAGACUCCGGCUCCAAAAAAAAAAAACCCUAAGUAUUUCCGAGAGUUCUACAUAAGCCACUCUAGCAAGUUAACUGAACAAAAGAAGGGGGUAUUAGGAACUCAAUUUAUAGUCAGUUGGUCAGAAACACAGGUAAAACCACCUGGGACUUGAGAUUAGCAUUGGAAGUGGGGGACUGUCUAUGGGACUUGAGCUUUCAACCUGUGGGAUCUGAUGCUAUCUUCAGGUACACCGUGUCAGAAUAAUACUGAAUUAGAGGAUACCCAUGUGGUGUCCACUGCUGAAUAGCUUGCUUGAUGCGCAGGGGAAAACCCCACACAUCUGGUGGUGUGAGAAUAUACUGGAAGAAAGUUUAUGUUCUCAGAAUCAACAAAAAAUUAUCCUACAUGGUUGCAACGUAUUCAACAUUUCAGGAAUUUCCCUGUAACAACUGUAACACAGUUAAGCAACAGGUAUGCUGGAGGUUAGUUAAUGCUGUGUUUUCCAGAAUUAAAGAUAUAAAUGCAUUUCUCAAAUAUAUACACUACAUUCCUUUAAAUCACUGUGGGUGCGACGGCUUACGCCUAUAAUCCCAGCACUUUGGGAGGCUGAGAUGAGUGGAUCACAAGGUCAGGAGUUCGAGACCAGCCUGACCAACAUGGUGAACCAGAUCUCUACUAAAAAGACAAAAAUUACCCAGCCGUGGUGGCACGCGCCUGUAAUCCCAGCUACUCGGGAGGCUGAGGGAGGAGAAUCACUUGAACCUGGGAGGCGGACGUUGCAGUGAGCCGAGAUCACACCACUGCUCUCAAGCCUGGGCAACAGAGCAAGACUCCAUCUUAAAAAACAAACAAACAAACGAAAAAACUCAACAAAUGGCUUCAUAUUAAGUCUACACCUCUAAUUACUGCCUUCUCAAACUACGCUUUCCAGUGAACAAUGCUUUAUUUGGUUUGCUACAUUCUUGCAAAUUUGAGUGAAAAGUACACUUAAAAAAAAAAAGUAUCAUAGGCCAGUAUGGUGGCUCACAUCUGUAAUCACGGCACUCUGGGAGGUCUUGGUGGACAGAUCGCUUGAGCCCAGGAGUUCCAGACCAGCCUGGGAAACACAGUGAAACCUCACCUCUACCAAAAAAAUACAAAAAUUAGGCCAGGCGCAGUGGCUCACACCUGUAAUCCCAGAACUUUGGGAAGCUGAGGCAGGUAGAUCACUUGAGGUCAGGAGUUCAAGACCAGAUGGCCAACAUGGUAAAACCCCAUCUCUACUAAAAAUACAGGCCUGGGCAGUGGCUCACGCCUGUAAUCACAGCACUUUGGGAGGCCGAGGCAGGUGGAUCACCUGAGGUCAGGAGUUCGAGACCAGCCUGACUAACGUGGUGAAACCCUGUCUCUACUAAAUACAAAAAAUUAGCCGGGCAUGGCGGCGUGCGCCUGUAAUCCCAGCUAUUCAGGAGGCUGAGGCAGGAGAAUCACUUGAACCCAGGAGCCGGAGGUUGCACUGAGCAGAGAUCACACUAUUGCACUCCAGCCUGGGCAACAAGAGCAAAACCCUGUUUUAAAAAAACAUAUAUAUAUAAAAUUAGCCAGGCAUGAUGGCGCGCACCUGUAAUCCCAGCUACUUGGGAAGCUGAGGCAGGAGAAUCACUUGAACCCGGGAGGCAGAAGUUGCAGCAAGCCAAGAUCAUACCACUGCACUCCAGCCUGAGGGAGAAGAGCAAAACUCUCUCUCAAAAAAAAAAGAAAAAAAACAAUUUUUGACACGUGUGGUUAGCAUGCACCUGUAGUCCCAGCUACUCAGGGGCUGAGGUGAGAGACUGACCUGAGACCAGAAUAUCAAGGCUGCAGUGAGCAGGGAUUGUGCCGCUGCACUCCAGCCUAGGCAUUGAAGUGAAACCCUGUCUCAAAAAAAAAAAAAAAAAAAACUAUUGUAUACACUGGGGGGCAGAAGGUGUUGAGCCCCUUUUAACUUUCAAAGAUUCAUCUUUAAAAUUGUGAGCAAACAGAAAAGGAAUUGCUAGAUUCUUCUAUAUAUAGAGUCACUCAAUGGGAUGCCAUUUUGAAACUUCACAGCAGGAAGUUUUAGUUUGGUCAGAGGGUCAUUAAAGAAAUGCCUCAGUUAAUAUAUAUGACUUGAAAGUCUUUUCUUUUAUAAAAGUAUAUACCAAGUUCAGGCCGGGUGCUAUGGCUCACGCCUGUAAUCCCAGCACUUCGGGAGACUGAGGCAGGCAGAUCACCUGAGGUCAGGAAUUCGAGACCAGCCUGGCCAAUACGUUGAAACCUCUUCUCUACUAAAAAUACAAAAACUAGCUGGCUGUGGUGGCAGGCACCUGUAAUCCAGCUACUCAGAAGGCUGAGGCAGAAGAAUCGCUUGAACCUGCGAGGCAGGGGUUGCAGUGAGCCAAGAUUCCACCAUUGCACUCCAGCCUGGGCAACAGAGCGAGACUGCGUCUCAAAAAAAAAAAAAAAAAAAAAAAAAGAUAUACCAAGUUCAUAAAAUACAGCAUUUCAAAAUGGCAGACUACUAGGCUGGGCACGGUCACUCAUGCCUGUAAUCCCAGCACUUUGGGAGGCCGACGCGGGUGGAUCACGAGGUCAAGAGUUCGAGACCAGCCUGACCAACAUAGUGAAACCCCGUCUCUACCAAAAAUACAAAAAUUAGCUGGGUGCAGUGGUGCGCGCCUGUAAUCCCAGCUACUUGGGAGGCUGGGGCAGGAGAAUCGCUUGAACCCAGGAGGCGGAGGUUGUAGUGAGCUGAGAUCGCACCACUGCAUUCCAGCCUGGGCAACAGGGUGAGACUCCGUCUCAAAAAAAAAAAGGCAGACUACUAUUUUUGUUAAUGUGGGACAAAAUACUCAUAACAAAUAUUUUGCAAAAUUUUUUUUUAAUUUAAUUUUCUUUUUUGUAAAGACAGGGUCUCACCAUGUUGCCCAGGCUGGUCUCUAACUCCUAGUCUCAAGCAUCCUCCUCCCUCAUCCUCCCAAAAAGCUAGGAUACAGGCUUGAGCCACUUGCCUGGGCCAAAAAAAUUAGUCCCAAAAUAUGACAGCACUCAAUUAGAAUUAUUGUGGACAAAUUCCAUUCUCUGGUAUUGGGUACCAAAGACGUGUUUGUUAUUACACAGAAAGAAAUAAUCAAGUUCAUAAAUUCAAACUGGUUAAAAAGAAAGCUUCUCGGCUGGGCACCGUGGCUCACGUCUGUAAUCCCAGCACUUUGGGAGGGUGAGGCGGGUGGAUCAUGAAGUUAAGAGUUCGAGACCAUCCUGGCCAACAUGGUGAAACCCUGUCUCUAUUAAAAUACAAAAAUUAGCUGGGUGUGGUGGCGGGCACCUGUAGUCCCAGCUACUCGAGGGGCUGAGGCAGAAUUGCUUGAACCCUGGAGGCAAAGGUUGCAGUGAACCGAGAUUGUGUGCUGCUGCACUCCAGCCUGGUGACAGAGCGAGACUCCAUCUCAAAAAAAAAAAAAAAAAAAAAGUUUCUCAUAACCAGAUCAGAAUCUAUCCUAAAACAUACUCAGAAAAAGUAACAUGCAAGGUAAUUUGAAAUCAGACUUUAAAGCAUGUUUUGAAAAGAUGGCAAGCAUUUCCAUUUGUUUUCAUAGCUUUUUUUAAUGACUUGACUCCAAAUAAGAAGGAUGUCUUAUUAUUUAGCUUGACAACAUCUAUGUUAAAGAGACUAGGAUCUAAACCCCGAAGAGAAAUUCAGAAACUAGAAAAAAAGAAAAUGAACCCGGGGUGUUAAGCUGGGAACCAAAAAGAGCACAUUUCAAUUCUUUUCCACCGUAAUGCCACAAAACCGUACCUUAAAACUUCUAAGAUUACAAUCUUAGGUAAGAAAAGGAAAUAUUUUCAGUUACAAAUAGACAUGUCUUUGCGCCUUCAUUCUAGACUUUUUUUUGAGACGGAGUCUCCCCGUCCCCCAGGCUGGAGUGCAGUAGCUCUAUCUCGGCUCACUGCAACCUCCGCCUCCCGGGUUCAAGCAAUUCUCCUGCCUCAGCCUCCCAAGUAGCUGGGAUUACAGGCACCUGCCACCACGCCCGGCUAAUUUUUGUAUUUUUAGUAGAGACGCGGUUGUGACAUGUUGGCCAGGCUGGUCUCGAACUCCUGACCUCUGGUGAUUCACCUACCUUGGCCUCCCUAAGUGCUGGGAUUACAGGCGUGAGCCACCGCGCCCAGUCGAUUCUAGACUUGUUUCCACUAAGACUUGGGGAACCCACACUUGUUGAAAAGGAACUAACUCUCCAAACUAGUUUUAUCAACAUGCUAUCAUUUCAGUCAAAGCACAGCUAGCCACCUAAAACCAUGUAUCAUCAAUGCAUAUUCUCCUUAGACAAGGUAACAAUUUGCAGUAUCCUAAAACAUAAUUAUUUAAACUGUUACCACAUGUCUUCUUAAUAGCUAAAAUACUCUGCUGCCAAUCUUUAAAAGGGUAGGAAUACCAACCGGGACCACAGAUCACUUAAGUAUUAAACCCAAGUACCUAUAGAAAAAAAUUGUUCUUAAUCUGUUUGACCUUCCUCCUAAUAUUUUACUUGCCUUCCCUCAUUUUUUUAAUCCAUGUAUUCCCUAUUCCUAUCAAAGGGGCUGUCAUAAGGAAAACGUUCGGCAUUGUUUCAAACAGUAUAAUUAUAUUCACUCAAUCACUGACUUAAAAAAAAAAAAAAACCCAAGUAGUCACAGGCUAUCGAAUUGUAGAGAAAUCGGCAGGGUAGGUUAAGCAUUGUUACUCAGUUUUCAGGAAGAAAACAGACUUUAUUAGAGUCCUAAGAAAUGUGACAUUUGAUUAACUUCAUGGGAAAAGUUUGUCAUAAAGUUUAUUUUAAAUACAACAUUUUCAAACGCACAGAUGUCAAGCAUUCUUUUUUAAUCUACAAAGCUUACUCCUCGGGGAGUUAGUAUCUGUGAGCCCUCUUGGGUGAAUUCUGCAAAGGAGGUGGUACUGAAAAAGUAUUAUUUGUGUUUGGCCUUAAGUACCUCUACAAGACCUGCCGUGGAUCUUAUCAGCCUUGAGGCCUACAAGUGCUCAGCUCACUAGCGGGACACUUGUCCUGGGUGAGCAGGACCGCCACUACUGCAGACACCGGACCGAGUAGGUGGGGGCCAACUUCAAAGAAAGUGUGAGCGCCCAGGCGCGCGAGUGGAACAAAACCUGUAGCAAGUAAUAAGGAAGUGCUUGCUCCCGCCCGCCCUUCCCAUCCGGGGACACCCGAAACCUGGGGGGCUUUGACAACGUGCUGGGGGCGUAAGACGGGGAGAGUGGCAGCUCCGAGUACACGGAGAAGAACUGGAAACAUGCAAAAACUCCAAACACGGUCCCCCCCGCCAGAAGCCCUAGGCCUCGGAAGCCGAUGCCCACUGCAACCAUCAGGGAGCAGAGACAGAAACAGUAGUUAAGGAGGUCGUGGAGGUCUCAGAGGGGUGCAACCCGCGCGAAGCCAGGCCCAGCGACACGAACUGCCGCCGCUGCCGCCCCCUGAGCCUCCAGGCCCGGGACAGAGACCACCAUGGGUCUCACCCCGCGCUCUACCCUCCGCUUCCUGGAGCCUUCUCGCUGGCCUCUCAUCUUCAGAGCGCGAAGCCUCCGAGAGCCGUGUGGAGAAGAGUCCGCCCUCUCCCGCCUCGUCCCACUUCCCCGUCCCGGCUGCCUCUCACUCCCUAGAGCUCCGGGAAACGCUUCCAGUGGCCCCAGGUCCACCCCUGUUCCUCCUCCCACCGGCUCUCGCGUUCCCAAGCUGACACCGCCACCCUACCCUAGCCCCUGACGCCAACCCGCCUCACCUCAGGCGGCUCCGGCAGCGCUGGACACAGGAAACUCCUGGGUCCCCGACUCCGG